GCGGCCUAUCAGCUUGUUGGUGAGGUAAUGGCUCACCAAGGCGACGACGGGUAGCCGGCCUGAGAGGGCGACCGGCCACACUGGGACUGAGACACGGCCCAGACUCCUACGGGAGGCAGCAGUGGGGAAUAUUGGGCAAUGGAGGGAACUCUGACCCAGCGACGCCGCGUGCGGGAUGAAGGCCUUCGGGUUGUAAACCGCUUUCAGCAAGGAAGAAGCGAAAGUGACGGUACUUGCAGAAGAAGCACCGGCUAACUACGUGCCAGCAGCCGCGGUAAUACAUAGGGUGCAAGCGUUGUCCGGAAUUAUUGGGCGUAAAGAGCUCGUAGGUGGUUCGUCACGUCGGAUGUGAAAAUCUGGGGCUUAACCCCAGACCUGCAUUCGAUACGGGCGAGCUAGAGUGUGGUAGGGGAGACUGGAAUUCCU
rnacentral:rRNA from 1 species